GGGAACACCAGAGGGCUGGCAAAGGACGUGGAGGCUGCGAACCUGCUCUCAGGAAAGGAAGAACGGCCUCACGAUGGUUUCGAUAGGAGGAAAUCCAUGAAACAGCAGCGGCGGAGCCAGAUCGGAGGUACAAGGUGUGUCGCAAGGGAAGGGAAAAAAGAGAUGUGGAACCAGGAAGCGGUCUGAGCCCUCGCAGGACCAUGGGGCUGCCCUGAGAGAGGCCAGCGGGCAGGGAGCUGGCCCUUCGAAGAUCACCGUCCCUGGUGUGUCUGUACCACGCACGGUAGAGACAGCUUUGCGGGUCAGCUGUGGACAAGGGGAUGUGGCGGUUGGCGCCCGAUUACAAGCUGUCAGUCUGCAUACGUGGAACGAAGAGCCGCCUGCCUAACCCAGAACCUGAAAUAAAGCGGCAAUUUCACCCUGACGGGUUCCUGGACACUGAAUGUAAUGAUGAGAGACGAUCUGAUUGAAAAUGCCUUCAGGAGGAGCAGCAUAUAAACAAGAAAAACUCUGAUAUAAAACAAUGCAAAUCCCAGGACUCUAAAGCAGAGAAGACGGACAUGCGAUUGCAUUUCAAUUAAAGCUGAUACUGCUGA